rnacentral:snRNA from 1 species
UUACUUACCUGGCAGGGGAGAUACCAUGAUCACUAAAGUGGUUCUCCCAGGGUGAGGCUCAUCCAUUGCACUCCGGGUGUGCUGACCCCUGCGAUUUCCCCAAAUGCGGGAAACUCAACUGCAUAAUUUGUGGUAGUGGGGGACUGCGUUCGCACUCUCCCCUG